AACGAACGCUGGCGGCAUGCCUAACACAUGCAAGUCGAACGAGACCUUCGGGUCUAGUGGCGCACGGGUGCGUAACGCGUGGGAACCUGCACUUAGGUUCGGAAUAACUCCCCGAAAGGGGUGCUAAUACCGGAUAAUGUCUUCGGACCAAAGAUUUAUCGCCUUUGGAUGGGCCCGCGUUGGAUUAGCUAGUUGGUAGGGUAAAAGCCUACCAAGGCGACGAUCCAUAGCUGGUCUGAGAGGAUGAUCAGCCACACUGGGACUGAGACACGGCCCAGACUCCUACGGGAGGCAGCAGUGGGGAAUAUUGGACAAUGGGCGAAAGCCUGAUCCAGCAAUGCCGCGUGAGUGAUGAAGGCCGUAGGGUUGUAAAGCUCUUUUACCCGGGAUGAUAAUGACAGUACCGGGAGAAUAAGCUCCGGCUAACUCCGUG
rnacentral:rRNA from 1 species